AUAAAAAGAAAGAAAGAUUGCUACACGGAGAAAGGAGAAAGAGAGACCGAGAGAAAAGAGAGACAAAGAAAUAGAGAGGUAGAGAACGGAGAAGGAGAGAGAGAUCGAGUGAUCAAAAACUGUAGUUUGCAAUCAAGAAUGAAAAGAUGUCUCUCACUUCCUAUCAGAUUUCUUCAUCUAACUGUCCGCUAAUUUCUUUCCUUGGAAUAAGAAGAAGUAAGGAAGAUGAAGUGUCAAGAACGAAGAGGAGUCUACCCCGCCCAUUACAACAUGCUUCUAAUGGAUCUAGAGUCUCUAAUUUAAUCAAAGCAAAGUAAGUUGUGAAGACAAGUAGAGAAUCUGUCAUGUAGCCAGAACCACUACAGAGGGUAAAGAGUAGGGAGGCAAUGAGACAUGAGAGAAUCAGAAGUGUUACCAACAAAGGAUGCAAUUUCAACAUGAUUGGUAGACCCAAUGCGGCGGGCUAAUCUUCUUUGCAGGAUAGCCUUUAUUGUCUACAACAAUCUGUCAUUAACACAGAUUGAACACCACAAUGGACAUUAAUAUUACACAGAUUAUACCAAGGAGACCACGUGAAGUACAGGAUGGAGAACUUGCCUUGCAUAAUGGAAAAUCAAUAUCUUAAAUAAAGGACUUGGAUUGGAACUUAGAGACAAAGGUAUCAAAGGUAUAGGAUACAUGUCCAAGUAGAAAGUAAAACCGAUUCAACAACAUUCAUUUCAUUUGACAAAGCGACUGAGAAAUUUGUAUCUAAGACUGUAAAAGAACUUGCAGAGAUAUAAGCAGAGCUCAUAAACCUGCUGAAGAUGGAAAAUGAGAAGAUGAUAGCAUGCUUAUUCAAAUGCUUCACAAACGAAACAAUGCUACUAAACAAAAUGCAUCAAAGAAGAAGAAAAAUUGAAGAAGGAAAAAUAGCAACUACAGAAUUCAAUUUAAUUUUCAGUUUUUGUUUUCCCUCCUACCUAUUCUACUAUUUUUAAAGAGGGAUUGAAAUUGUGGAACUUUGAAAUCUAAAAGUCUAAUGUUCUUUAUACAAAGUUGAUUAUUUCAUAGAUUUUAGUCAAUAUUUCACCCUAUCUGCAUAAUUACUAGGGUUAGCUACUUUAAACUUUUAUUUUAAUGGUAGACAAUUGUAGAAAAUGUAUUUUGUUGUUGAAAUUUUAUGGUUGCUGGUGGGUGAAUUUUGAAUAAUAAAACAAUGAAUGUGAUUGCUAUCAAGUUGACAGGUAUUUAGUGGUAUCAUCUUAAUAUCUUUUGGUUAAUUUUUUGUUUAUAGUUUGUGAAAUUUCUAUUGCUAUGACAGCCUUGCAGCUAUUCUUUGAUGAUAACUUCAUAUUAUCCAACCAACUGAUGUGAAUGCUCUUAGGGUGUGUAUGUGUUGAUCAUCCUUAUGUUUGGUUUAUUGUUUUACCAUGAAACUGCAAUUAAAUAAUGUGCCAAGAAAAAGACAUCUUAAAACUUCAAAAAAGCAAAGUCACCAUCAAUUAUUGUUCUUAUUAUCACAAUUUGUUUGUCACUGAUGAAUAAUUAUUUGAGGAUUUACAGGUAGUUCAGCCAACCUCAUCUAACAUACAUAGAUGGUUACAAAUUAAAGAAUGACAAUAUAUACUUCCUUUUCUAAUUUUUUUUUUUUCCUUACAUCUUUCCUUUUCCCCCUUUUAUGUACCAACUUUAGGCCCAUACUUUUUGGUGAGAGAAGUUUCAGGGCAAUGCAAGAUGAACUCAAGUGACUCCUUGGGUUGACACUUAAUUGAGAUGGCUGGUACAAGUCAUAUCCCAUGGGGAAGUACUCCAAUGGUAUUAACAUAGCAUGAGGCUAGUCCUUUGUCACCAUUGACUCACAUGCCUAAACCUGUAUGUACCCAUAUUCAUAACAGCUUAAUGUAUAUAGUUUUAGGUAUUGGACACUAUAUGCUUAAAUAUACUACGUUAUUAAAGUUUGAAUAUGUGUAGUAGAAAUGUGAUAAGUUUAUGUUAGAUGCAAAGUUCAUUAAUAUGUAAAACGAUCCCGCGCGUUGCACGGGUUAAACACUAAUGGUAAUAAAAAUGGAAUAUUGUCACCUUAUCGGAGUGUGUGAUAUCACUUGAAAGAGUUUAGUGAUCGUCCUCCUGAGAAUGAGCAAGAAUUGUUCAACCUCCGACACUCUUCAUUGAGAACUACCAUUGAGCGAGGGUUUGGAGUGUUGAAGAAACGUUUUCGAGUGUUGGAUGCAGAACCAUUUUGGUCUUUUAAAAUCCAAGUGAAAGUAGUGUUAGCAUGUUGUGUGGUUCAUAAUCACAUUAUGGGGGUUGAACCAAAUGACCAUAUUAUGGAAGAUGCAAUGAACCAAGUAGAGUCUAGUGACCCCCAACAAGAAACACAAUCACGUCGAGAGUCCAUAGGAGACAGUGGACUGUGGAAUGCUAAGAGAGAUGUGAUAUGCCAAGCUAUGUGGUCUAAUUAUACUAGGAGUGGAGAGUAGUACUUUAUUUAGAUUUCUAUGAUUGUAAUGUGUGUUUUUUUUUUUUUUUUUUUUUUUUUUUUUUUUUUUUUUUUUGUAAAGACAAUGUAUUUACUAUAGACUUCUGAUGGUGUAAUGAAAAAUUAUUUUCAGCAUUACAUUGUUAUUUGAUGGUAUUACAUUGUUAUUUCUAGUGUUAGCAUGUUUCAUUAUGUUGUGCACAUCUAUAAGUGUGGUUGUAUGUUUGUUUGAUUUGUUGUUCAUAUUCCGAGCGUAAUUACUAAAUGCUACUCUCAUUUUUAAAUGCUACUCUUACUAUACAAUUUUCAUAUGUAGUAAUGUCAAAGGGCAAAGAGAAGGUGAGCAACAGCAAGCAGUUCAGGUGGCUGCCGCCCAUGCACUCAACGAUGCCUAAGAUACUUGCGCAGGAGGCUACAAAGGGCAACAAGCCGUCUAGCACUUUCAAGGCAGGCUCCUUUGCGCUUGUAGCAAAGGAGAUAACUGCCCAAUUUGGGGUUGAGUGCCACCCCUCUUAUGUUGAAAAUCGGAUGCGGACUCUAAGAACCAUGUGGUCCACUAUUCAGACUAUUAGAAAGAAGAGUGGCUUUGGCUAGGAUGAUAACCUAAAAAUGAUAACAUGCGACGCGAAGACAUACCAAGAAGAAGUCAUGGUGCAUUGAAAGCAUGCGGAGUAUCUAAACAAAAAAAUUGAGAUGUAUGAUGAAUUAGCUAUUGUUGUGGGGAAGGACACUGCCACGGGUGGCUUUUCUAAGUCCUAUGUGGAUAUUGAGAAUGAGCCAGACAAUGGGGACAGUGUCGAGUUUGUUGCAGACAAUGUGGAGGAAGGUGUGGUCGAGAAAGGGAAGAAUGUAGUCGAGUCAUCCACCACUGGGUCAGGAAUUUCCAAGUCCCGCAAAAGAGGAUGUGCACCUUCUAAUGCUGAUGAUAGUGUGCUUACUGAUCUGUUUGAUCAACUGAAGGAAAUAGUUGUGGCUCUAAAAGAAAUCAACCAGGGCCCGGUGGAUUACACAGCUCUUUACAAUAAGGUCAUGGCUAUGAUGGCGGAUGGGUAUAGCAAAGACAUGCUCGCAACCGCGUUUGACCAUCUUUGUGAAAAUGAGAAGGCAGUACGGGGAUUUCUAGCCAAGAAUGCUAGGUUGAGAAAGCUGUAGUUGUAUGGUUUUUUGUUCUCACAACUUUGACUUGUCUGUUUCAUGUUGACUGUGACGAUAGCUUUAGGAAUUAACUUUUGUUGUAGUACUAGUAUUGACCUACCAUUGUAUUAUAUAUGUAGUCUUUUGUAUUAUUGGGACGAUACAAUUGCCCAAAUUAUGUAUUUGUACUGUUCAGAUACCAUGAGUAGGUAUCAUUUUUGUACACCAUGGAGGUGUAAUGCCAAUGGUGAACGAUUGAUAUGGCUGUUUUUAUAUAAAUAUUAUGGGUAUAUUCAAAUGAUUAUUUUUGA